rnacentral:rRNA from 1 species
GAUGAACGCUGGCGGCGUGCCUAAUACAUGCAAGUCGAGCGAACAGAUCCGGCUCUUGCUCCUCUGACGUUAGCGGCGGACGGGUGAGUAACACGUGGAUAACCUACCUAUCAGACUGGGAUAACUUCGGGAAACCGGCGCUAAUACCGUAUAAUCUCUUGCUCCGUAUGGUUCAUUAGUGAAAGUCGGUUUUUCUGUCACUUAUCGCUGGAUCCGGGCUGCAUUAGAUAGUUGUUAAGGUAACGGCUUAUCAAGGCAACGAUGCGUAGACGACGUGAGAGGGGGAUCGGCGACACGGGAACUGAGACGCGGUCCAGAGUCCUAAGGGAGGCAGCAGUAGGGAAUGGGACGCAAUGGGCGAAAGCAUGACGGAGCAACGCGGAGUGAGUGAUGAAGGUGUUCGGAGCGGAAAACUCUGUUAUGAGGGAAGAACAAAUGUGGAAGGAAAUAUGCAGGGAGUGACGGUACCUAAUCAGAAAGCAACGGCUAACUACGUG